rnacentral:lncRNA from 1 species
GGGCUUGCAGACUCAUCAAGAACUGGGAAUAGUUUGUAAUUCUCUACACCCAGCAAAGCACACAGUUUCUAUGAAUAAUGAAGAGUGAGGAAGAUGAGAAGAGGAAAGGAGAUAAGGAUGAAGGAUUUUGAUAGAAAAAGUGCAGAGAAGAAAGCCGAAAUGUCAAAAGUGAGUUGUGGUUAAGCAAUGCUACUACAUUUUGGGUUAAUGGGGUUAUUAGAUUCAUAAAUUUAAUCAUUUAAACCGUAUUCCCACAGAAAGAAGCCUUCUCUGCCUGCUAAGUAAAACUUGCCAAAAAGAUAGCCCUUGCUUAUUCUCGAAGUUCAUCCUUAGAUGUGUUGAAAAAUAUGUGUUGUAUCACCAGGCUUUGCUAGGGAUUAGGACAGCUCACUUCUAGAUUAAUUUACCUGAGCAGUGGUGACAUGAAAGGAUGAAUUCGAGCACAAGAAAUGUUGCUUUCCAUGAUUGGACAGCAAGACUGUAUAGCUCACUGUCAAUGUAAAAUAAAUCAGUCUCUCAGGAACCCUCC